GCAAGAACGCGCUUGGCUAUGUGACCACAUUCAAACGACGUACUUUGUUGAUCAACAGCAAAUUCAGCAACUGAAAAAUACCCUUUUUUAACAAGAAAAAAUACACGUGCUGAUGAUUACCCGCCACCACCAAGACCAAGUGGCCCCAGUAUGUUAUGACCUCAUAAAUGUGCGGUUGAACCAGGGAGAAAGUGGUCGCGGCAAAAGCAGAAAAGCCUACAACAGUUUUACCUAUGUGUGUUUGUGGUUCAAAUCGACGAACCAAAGCACAACAGGCACAAUGGACCAUCAACAAACAACAACCCACGUUAUUGUUCCGAAAAAGCAGAAGCAAUUGCUAUUUAUGCUGUAUUGGACGCGGCAUUAGAAGCACACAUACAAACGAGCACACAUACACACAUGCGAUGCCGAAGCGGAACAGUACCGCUAUCUCGCUGCUUUUCGGGUAUGAUGAGCUCUACUUUUGCCAUUUCUUGGUGCCGCCAAAGCGCGUGAGCUUUUGAAGUUUAUCCUACGCUGAUAUUGAAACAAUGCAAGUGAAAUUAAAUUCAACCUG